rnacentral:lncRNA from 1 species
CUUGACCAUGUACAGCGUCAUAGCCGCUUCCGAAAAUGGGGGAAUUUCCGCUGGCAAUGGAGUUCAUUAGUUCAUGUAGAUUGUUGCCAGCCGUAUCUCCGAAAAUGGCGCCGAAGUUGGAGGUUUUGGUUCCGGUUGAAGAAGAGUUUGCAAAGGUUCUUAGAAGGGAAUCGUCGUUGGUGUUUUUGUUGCUUGAAGUAGAGCCCAUUUGAGCAGCCUUUUGAAGCAAUGCGGUGGCUGACAUUUGGGGCACCAUGUCAUUGUUUUGAACCGAUGAGCUAAAGAGAGAAGGGAUGUUGGAAGUCAUUUGAUCACUCAUUAAGUUGUUGGAGAAGAGGUUGGCGGCGUUGUUGGUCCCACCAUUGCCGCCGUUUUCAUUGUUGAAAUUAUCAGACAUGAGCAAACCCGAAGAUGUUAAAUUAUAAUCGCCAGCACCGCCAUUGUUGCCACUGUUGGAAAGGAAGCUAAGGUUGAAGAGAUUGGCAGCCGAAGAAGCGUUGCUUGCGUUGUUGUUGUUGUUGUUGUUGUUGUCGUCGGGAGGAAACUGCAUUAAUCCUUGGAAUGGUUUGCUGUUUCCCAACAACCCAUGCUGGGAUUGAUGUUCUUGGUUGAAAAUCUGAUUAGAUUCUUCCAUGACGAAACCCAUGGCCUGUUGUUGAGGUCGAAACGAUGAUGAUGAAGAACAACCCAUUGAUGGAGGAAGAAGAUGAUCAAAUUGGGAACUCCUUGAAGCCCCACCACCACCAAGUUUGAGGAUGUCAGCCGCAGUUUGAUUAUUAUUCGGGUCUUGAAUGGAUGAAAUUUGGGUUCCAACUUGAGAUAACCCUAAGCCCAUAUAAUUGCUAGUUCCGUACAAAUGGGUGCCAAUGGAGUUUAAAGGAGGAGGGUGCCUUGCAGUUUCUUGAGCCAGUGCAUCACAGAAUGCUCUGUGAGUGAUAAAGCUGUCACGUCUGCCAACAGUAACAAGCAUUCCUUUAGAUAAGCUUCAGACACGCAGUAGUAACAAGAAUUUGAACACAUGACUGAUCUUGUCUGCCAUGUUUUUAACAUCAAAUUAUUGGGUUUUUGAAUGUUUUUCCAAUCAAUCAAUUAAUUUAUGGCUACUAGCUAUCUAAAGAACACGAGAUAAGAAAUUGAAAUUGAAUGGAUAAUAACGAAAUUAAAUGAUUUCAUUAUCUUAAUUAAUUGAUUAAUCAAAAAUCUACCCUCAUUUUUACAUUUCACAUAUAAAAAAAUUUUGGCUCAAAUUUUGAGAAGAGUAAAUUUAGUGUGAAAUUAAUAAGUGAAAAAUUGGAAUUAAUAGCCCAUUUCCUAAAUGUUUUCUUUUUUUAAGAAAGGAGUUUAGCUAACAAGAAGAAAGGUUAUUAGAGAAGAAAAUUGAAGGAACCGUAAAGCGACAAGAGAAAUAUAUAUAUUAGUGAAAAGAGAGAGUAGAAGCUAGGAAAUUAAACUAAAAUUAUCCUAAAAGACAGACAAAUAAUUGAAGAGAAGAGAAAUAGGUCAAAAGAAAUAAUCAAAUUGACUUAAUAAACAGCCAUUUCAAGAACUGGGUGCUCAAUAAAUGCGACUAGAGAAUGUAUUCAAGCAAGUGAAAAGUGAUGAAUCAACAACCCCAAUUCGGGAUUUUUAGUUGUUCAAUUAAUGCAGGAGUCAUGGGAAUAUAUCUGAUUUUUCCAGUUAUGAAUAUCGUUUUCUAAAACAAGAAGCUGAAAAAGCUUUCGGGUUUUCAUUUCUCUCUCUUUUUUUAAAAUUUUUUUUUUGAAUUCCCAAAUCAAUCAACUCUGGAACUAUCCCUCCCAUGCGCAAAAUUCCCACUUAAAAAGCAACGAGAUAUUAGACUAGUUAUUUGACUGUUUCGGCUAAAUCGGCACCGGAAUCAGGAUAAACACGACCCGGUUUAAAAACCCGGAUUGGGAGGGUAAUGACGUUAUCAUGAAAAUAGAUACCUGCAAAAGCACAGACCUGAACAUGUCUAGCCAACCCACAAGAGAACAAAUGUAGUAACAACAACACAGCGAACUAUACAUGGCAAAGCAUCACGUGAAUAGGAAAUAAAGUUAAAAAUAAAAAAUAAAAGAAAGAAAGAGAGAGAGGGGGGCGGUUCCAAGUACAAACAAAAGAUGAACUGUUUCAUUUUCUUUUUUCAAUUUUGGAGGUGGGUUUAAAUUUGUUGUUGGAUGGAUUGAAACCUAGCGACCUUGUAUUACCGAUGGCUUUUCCUACAGAUUAUUCACGUGGAACCAUGUUUGUUUUCUGCACUACUCACCAUUUUUGACGACUUAGUUAGAAUUCGAAUAAAUGAGAAAAAGGGGGAAUCAGAUGAAGAUGAAGAAAGUGAAUAAAAGUGAAAGUGGGUUGUGGAGAGUACCUUGAGAAGAGAGUGCCACAGUCACAUCUGUACUCUCUGGUGCCACAGGUCUUAGAAUGAGCUUUCCAAUCAGAUUGCACGGCGUACCUCUUGGAACACUUCUCGCACUUCCAUUUCUUCUCACCAUGUUUUCUCGAGUAAUGCUUUUUGAUGCCCGUAAGGUCCCCAAGUGCCCUCGACGGGUCAUGGUGGACGCAUGUGGGCUCCGGGCAUAGAUACACCUUCUUCUUCACUUCUUUUGUUGUUUUCUGCUUUAGCUUCCAUGGCAAGUUGUGUCCCCUUCUAUGAAGCUGUAAAUUUUGCUCCCUUUGGAACCCUUUGUUGCAUACCUCGCAUAUGAACCUGUUUGUAGCCAUUAAUGUCUUGGGAGAUAGUGCUACCACUUCUGCAUCUGGAUCUGUUUCCAUCAUUUAAACAGAAAACAAAAAACACAUCCCCCUUGUCAUUUCCACUAAAAUAACCUUCAGAAUUUAGGGUUUCUUCUUGUUGGAAUAAGAUUAAGAUCAAUUCUCAUUACUUGAGAUUUCUCACAUACAUACAAAUACAUAUAUGUAGUAAAAAUAAGAUGAAAAAAAAAUUGGAUACUUGCUUGGAGUUCCAGGUUGGUUUCUCUUUUUCUUGGGAGGCGGCGAUGGAUCAACCGGGCCAGUUGAUGAAGUCGGUGUAUGUUGUUGUUGUUGUUGUUGUUUCGUCUGGCUUUGAUUCUCUUCUCUAAUUCCGAAGAAAGGCCCUGAUGAAGAAGAUGCAGUCGCCAUCUUUAACCAAAACCUCACCUUCUUCCUCUUAAUUUUAUUCUUAAUUUCACUUGGUUUUCUACAAAUACUCAGAAAUAAUAUCUACUCAAAAAACCCAUUAAUCUAACGGCAACAACACCACACUGAAAACUCAUCUGCACAAGCUAAGAAGGGGGGUUGGGGUGGAUUAUGGAAGGGUUUUUGAAAUAAAAGAAAGUAGAAGAAGAGAGAAAAGAAAGAAAAUCUAACCUAUGGACAUUUUGGUGCUUUUAAAUGCCAAAUUGUGAACAAACUGAAUUGUUUUUUCCUCUCUUUAUUCGGUGUCAUGCAUAUAUAUCAUCAUCAUCUCAGCCAGAUUAAUUUCUUUAUUAUUAUUAUUAUUAUUAUUUAUCUGAUUGGCUAAUUUUACUUAUUUAAAAAAAAAAAGGAGAAAGAAAAUGAAAAAUGUUUAAGAGAGAUGAAGAAGAAGGAGGAGGUCGGUGGACCCAAUCCAUUAGACGCAAAACGACAUAGGAUGAUGCGUAAGAGCAGCAUGAAGAGAACAGCUCCCCCUUUCCUUCCGUCUCGUUUAUUUUCGUACUCUCACUUGCAGACAAACUUGCUACCCUCACCCCCACUGUAAAUCUAUUUUACUUAAUCAUUUCAAACUUAUAUCUAACUGCAAUCUCUUUGCUUAGCUUCAGCUUUUUCAUAUAUAACCCCAGCAUUUUAUUGGAACAGUUCAAUUUGUGGUAGAAUUUAACCACCACCCUCACCUUAUUUUCUAAUAUUCUUUUUCCUCUCAUAAAAUGUUUUUAUUAUAUAAAUAAUAUUUUAUUUAAACCUCACUGAUUAAUAGUAUUAUAUAUUUUUUUAAUUUGAAAUUUAAAAACAUUCAAAUCUGAUGUAAAACUUUAACAGAAAAAAUUGUAGUGAAAUGCAAAACUCCAAGUGAAAAACUAGGCACAAAAUCACACGAGCAAUAGAUUCUAACUUUCUAGGUGAAACUAAGCUCUUGGGACUGAUUUUUAUUUUUUAUUUUUUUAAAAGUAAUUGUACUUUGUAGGUUCUUUCUUUUUUAAAUGCCGAAGGAUGAAGAAGACUUUCCAGUUUAUCCCAUUGAUUCAGCUUAACUCCGGUUUUGGUUCCAAUUUGGUGUGAUAAAAGAUAGACCAGGAUGUCACAUCAUGAAAUGAAAAUGGGUAUUGUCGUCAUCCUCUUAAAAUUUAUAUAAAUAAAUUAAGGAAACACCUAACCCAAUCACUGGAGAUAAACAUAUAUAUUUUAUCAAAAUUCUAGUGUAUGAGAAUUUAUCAAAAAAUUUAAUUAAAAUUAUAUGUUUAGUAAAUGCAAAUAUUUGGUAUGUUACUAAUGGUGGGGAGAUGACAAGUGUAUAUAUAGGUCACUAAUUUUUUUUAAUAAUAAUAUAUAAAAUAAAUGCCCUAAUUAAAUACUCACAUAAUUAGUAAAUAUAAAAUUGAAGGUUCAUCUUUAUACUUAAAAUUAGUAAUUCAUUAUUCAUUAACAAUUUACACAAAAUUUCAUUAAAAAAAGGUAAUUAUAUUUAACUAUGUUUAGGUUCUGUCCAAACUCCUUUAAUUUAAGUUAUACUCAUAUUUGUAUUUUAUAAUGAUUAAUUUUAUUUAUAAUUAUUUAAAUUUAUUGUUUUUAUAAUUGCUAAUACAGAAAUUUGUACUUGCGCUUUUCUAAUAAAAACCAUCAUUUUAAUACAUUAUUUCUUCUAAAAGAAUCUUUUGUACAUGGACAAGUUCUAAAUAUAUAUAUAUAAUUGUCAAAAAGAAAACAUCAGAUAAUUAAAAAGAGUUGAGAUGCAGAAUUAAUGUGGUCAAGAAGAUGAUAUAAUAAAGUGAAGGGGUGACUUGAAAGUCUUGAAUAAGACAGGUUUUUUUUUUUUUAAAUUAUAAGAAAUUAUCUCAUCAGUUUCAUAAUCCAUUGAAGUUGAUUUUUUUUUAAUUUCACACCAAUUAAAAAGAAAAUAUACAUAUUAAUUUAUUUAUAAAAUAUUUAAUUAAAUAAACAUUUUAACUUGAUUCAUUAAUUUUUUUUUAGCAUUGUUGAUUAAGGUGGAUGUCUUGUGUCUUUGAGUACCCAAAUUUCGUAAUUGUAAUACGUGGAUCUCUAAUCUCAUAAUAUGCGUAUGCCAUAUAUGGAUUUUGUCUUGUACUGAUUUAAUUCUAAAUUAUUGUUACUUCAACAUAUAUUUGUAAUAAUAAUAAUAUUUUAUUUAAAUAUGAGAUUUUUUUCCAUGCCAGCUACUAUAUUUAUUUAUUUUCCUCAACUACUUAUUAGUAAUUAUUUGAUGAGGCUGUAAUAUAGUAUUUAGAGAGGAUGAUAAUUAUUGUAAUUAAUUAGUAUUUAAGGCUCUACUUAAUUUAAACCCCUCAAAUAAAUGUCCCUCAUCAAUAUGAUUGAUGUUUAGGAAAUUAAUUUAAUGCUGAUAUAUAUUCUUAGUAAUUUCUAAAUUUUAUAAAAGAGAAAUAAAUGUUAAUAAAUUUAAAGUAUAGUUAUUAAGUUAAUUUUUUUUAAAAUUCAAUGAAAAUGAUUUAUUAAACAUAAGUAUUUAAAAUUAUUAAUUGAAUCAUCUAUAAUCAAUUAGAUGUUUUAGAAAUUGAAAAAUAUAUAAGGGUGUAUUUAGGGAAGAGAUUUCGAAUUUCAAAAUUUUGGAGUAAUUUGAAGAUGGGAUUUUUGUAGUUCAAUUUCCUUUUCAAAAUCCACUUAAAAGAGGUUAUUUUUCAAAGUUCCUUAUAGUUUUAUUUCAUUUAAUACUAAAACUUCAAAAUUUCUAAUUUAUAUAUAAAAAAUAUUUACGAAUAUAAUGAUAUAUAUAUUGAAUUUUUUAUAUUAUUUGUUUUUAAUAUAAAACAAUUAUUUAUCCAAACAAAUCAAUUAUAAUUGAUGACAUCUAAAAUACUUGCAUUUCAAAAUUCUUCAUCUAAACAUACUCUAAGAAUUUUGUUGAUAUAUACAAAUUAUCAAUUAUUAAUAGAUCUCUUUGGGUAUCCAUUUAGCAUACUAUUGUAAAAAAAAAAUCUAAAAAUUCUUUAUGCCCAUGAAAACCACAUGUUUAGAACAUAGACCCUUGUUUAAAAAUACAUAUAAUAAGUAUGAAAUGUAAUGUUUGAAACUAAUAAUUACGUAGAUGAGAUUAAAAUAAAAAAAUUUAAUUUUAAUUGUGAGUCAAAAGAAAUUUAAAUAGGUAAGCACGUCGUAUUAAAAAUAGUAAAUGCACUCUAAUUGCUUAUCAUGAUAUUGUCAAUUUUUUCUUGAAUUGGCAUAGAGUUUAUUUCUGACACCAACUCAAUUUAUAAUAUUAUCAAUACUAAAAAUUCUAUCACAUGUAUAUGUGUGAAAAUUACAUUUUUAAACACACGCGUGCAUAUGAAAAUUAAAUGAAUAAAUAAAUAAUAUAUAAGAUUUAAAACAAACAAUAAUACGAGUUUGUAUAAAAAUUCAAAAUACUACCAUGUUAGAAUACAUAUAUUUUGUAUUAAAAUAAUUUUGAAAAAUUAUGUUGAAGGUAAUAGUUUUACAUAAUUAUACAUUUUUUUAUGUAAAAAGUUCAAAUAAGGUAACAAUAACGCUUUAAUUAAAAUGGAAAAGUUAAAAGAUUUAAAAUGCUUGAAGGUUUAGGUUUAAAUUUUAUUAUUUGCUUAUUUUUCUUAAGCCUUAUAUAAAGGUAUGAAAUACAAAAGUAAACUUCAAAUAAUACCAAAAUUUGAUUUUUUUUUAUAUUUCUCUUAAUUAAAUUGGUGUCGAAUUAACUUAUAAUAUUAAUUCAGUCACAUAAAUAAUAGUAUAAAUAUACACACAAUGUGGGUAAAAUAGUUUACGUAAUAGUAUUGAAGUGUACUAAAAAAAUAAAACAAAACUUUGUUUAAAGUGAUAAAGUUGAGGUGCUAUCAAUGUGGGUCGCAUGGGUUCAAAAUUUUUUAUAUGUAAAUUUUUAGGGUAAAUUAUCUAUUUAAUCACCCGAGUUUAUUUAUGUUCUUAUUUUGGUCACCCAUUUUAUAAAGUUAUUAUUUUAUUCACUCCCGUUAAAUAAAUUGUCAAUUUUAGUUACUCUACCGUUAAAUGCCUUUUGUCACCUGACGAAAUGCUGAUGUAACAAUCUUUUGAUCCCUUAACACUUUGCACAUUUUGUCACUUUGGUUCUAAUUUUAAAAAAUUCAACAAAUCUAACCUUUAAUAUUUGCACAUUUUGUCAAUUUAGUCCAAAUUCUAAAAAUUCAAAAAAAAUUAUAAUUUUAAAAACUUGAAAAUAUAUAUUAUUUAUUAUAAAAAGAAAUAAAAUGUUAGAUGUUAAAUUUAUAUAUAUAUAUAUAUAUAUAAUUCUUAACUUGAAAUGUAUGUUGAAUUGAAUAGCAAUUACUUUUAGAAAAAGAAAUUCUUAUGUUUUCAGAUAACAAACAAAAAAUCAUUUUUAUUUUUUUGCUUUUGUUUUAACCCAAAACCUUCAAUUACCCUAAACUCAUUUUUUAAGUUAAAAGACCUUUUCAAUUUCUUCAAAAGCCUCUCCUCAAUUAGCAAAAAAAUCAGUAAGUCAAAUAUUAUUUUAAUCCCUUUUUAUAGUUUAAAACUUUCAAAUUCUUCAAAAACACCCUUUUUGAUUAACAUGUUUUAGCUUCAAAAUAAUUUUGGGAAGACAUGAAUUUUAAACAAAAUAGUUCUUGAUUUUUUUCUCUGUUCAACUAUGGAUUUAAAAAAAAAUAAGUUUAUGGGUUUCAAGAUAUGGGUGAAAUUUUAAGAUAAAAAUUGACAGAGGAGAGGUCGAGAAAUCUAUGGGUUUACAAAUUUUGGCAUCAAGAGAUGAGAGGUUGAGAAAAAAAUCCAUAAACUUUAUGCUAAAUAACCAAAAAAAGAAAAGAAAAACUUAAAUUUAUUCAACUAGCAGAGAUCAGAAGGGUUUCAAAACCAUUUUUCUAUUAUUUUAAUUAAAAGUAUAUUUUUAAUGGCCAAAGAUGAUUUAAAAUUUAUAAUGUCGUUAUAUAUAUUCAAUGUUUUAUAUUUUUAAAAUUGGUGACCAAAAUAGGAACGCAAGUAAACUCGUGUGACUAAAUAAGUAGUUUACCCAAAUUUUUAUUGGUUUUCUUAAAAAUAUAAAAAGAGAAAAGUAUCAUAGUAAUAAUAUAAUAUAUUUUAAAUAUGAAAGGGAUUGUAAUUUAACCUACUGAGUUGGUGCCAUUUAACUCGUGACAGCAAACUCAGUAGAACACUCAAUAUUAGUAGAGAUAGUUUUCUUAACUUGAAUUAUUUUUUAUAAUUUGAAUUAAUUGCACCAAAAUCCAAAAAUAUGACCCUCAUUCUAAUUUGAUCCCAAAUUCAAAAAAUUUUAAUUAUAUCCCAAAACUAUUGAUGUUAUAUCAAUCGUGUCAUUCAUUAUUAAAACCAUUGAUUUAAUCUUUAAAUGAUACCUUAAAUCUUAUAUAGCUAAAUUUAAAUGAAAAUUUUUAAAUAAAUAGAACAUUAUCGCAUAACUUUUAAAAGUAAAAACUAAAAAUAAAGUAAACUUGAAAUAAAAAAUGAACGAUAAAGCUUUUGUAAAAGUUUCAAAAACCUCAAUGUAAUACUCAAUUUUAGCCCGGGCUCACAUAUGGAAACAUAAUCUUCAAGGAUAUGUAAUAUUAGAUAUGGUAUGCAAUCUUAGAUAUGAUUUAUGCAAUCUUAGAAGAUAUGAUUUUGUACUAUUAGAGAUUUAAUUUGUAGAUACCUUUUACUCUUAGCCGUUGAUGUAAUUAAUCUGUACCGUUAGAUUUGGGAAGGCUCAACUAUAAAUAGAUGCCUCUCCCUUCAUUGUAAGGGAGGGAAGUUGGGAGUAAUAAUAAUUUUUAAGAGUAUUCCCUCAAAUUUCUCUUUCUCUUGCAUUUUUAUUUUCUUUGGCGUGUUCAAUAGGGUCCUUUCGACUUCAUUUUUUUGCGGAUUUAGGCCCAGAAUUUAUGUCAAAGCUCGAUUUAGUCUUUUGUAUUUAUUAUUUAUUUUUAUUAAAUUUGAUUUUCUUGUUAUUAAGAUUAUUAUUAUUGUUAUUAUUAUCAUUAUUAUUAUUAUUACUAUAUAUACACAUACGCAUAUUUUUUUACAAUAAUAUAUAUACAUACAUUUGUUUAAAAAAAUUUUAUAAACACAUGCACAUAUUAUAUAUAUAUAUAUUUUAUUAUUAUUAUAUUUGCAUAACUUUUAUAUACAUAUAUAUACAUUUACAUUUUAUAUACAUAUACAUUUUUUAUUUCCUAACUUUUAUAUGCAUAUAUAUACUUUUAUAUAUUUUUUACUUUGAUAAAUAUGUAUAUACGUAUGUUUUCUUAUAUUAUUCUUCAUAAAUUUUAUAUAUAUUUUAUUUUCUAAAUUAAUUAAUUUUCAUAUAUGUAAUUAUUAUUAUUUGUUUAUAUNNNNNNNNNNNNNNNNNNNNNNNNNNNNNNNNNNNNNNNNNNNNNNNNNNNNNNNNNNNNNNNNNNNNNNNNNNNNNNNNNNNNNNNNNNNNNNNNNNNNNNNNNNNNNNNNNNNNNNNNNNNNNNNNNNNNNNNNNNNNNNNNNNNNNNNNNNNNNNNNNNNNNNNNNNNNNNNNNNNNNNNNNNNNNNNNNNNNNNNNNNNNNNNNNNNNNNNAUUUAUUUAUUUGUUUAUAUUAUUUCUAUGCCAUUGUUGUCUUUAUUACUAUUGUAUUUGUUAUCACGAUAUUUAUACAUACAUUAUAACAUUACAUUAUCUUUUACUCGAAUUUAAAAAUGGAAAAUUUUUAAAAUAAAGAUUAUACUCAUAUUUAGGAUUUUCAAGAAAAUUGAACCCUAACGCAUUGGGUUCCGAUUUUCUUCGUAAAAUCUAACAAUCGAGGAUUGUUCUUUAAUCAAACAAAAUAAAACUUGUCAUCGGGAAUUCAAUGUGUUGUGUCCUAACGUAUUGGAUGUGACACGUUGAUUUCUCGAGAUAAAGAUUUUUUUAAAAAAUAUAUAAAGGAAAUAUUGAAUGUUUGGGAUUUUAAGAAAUCGUGCCCUAACGUAUUGGGUUGCGAUUUCUUCAUAAAUUUUAAACAAUUAAAUAUUUUCUUAAAUUUUAUUAUACGAGUUUUUUAGACCAACUCAUCUUGAAGAGAAUAAAAUGUUGUGUUAUAACGCAUUGGGUGUGAUAUUUUUUUUUUCAAAAAGAGAAAGUCUUAAUAAAUAAUUUCAUUUAACUAAGGAUAGUAUUUUUUUAAACUCUCGACUUUAAGACAUUAAUUAAUCAAUUUGGUACCAAUUUUUGGGUGUUACGAGGGUGCUAAUCCUUCCUACGUAACUGACUCCCGAAUCCGUUUUUCUGAAACUCGUAGACCAAAGCUAUUUUUUAGGUGAUCCAAUCACACCUUAAUAAAAGAUUGGUGGCGACUUCCAAUUUUUAUUUUUUUUAAAGUCGACAACUAAUUUUUGUUUUUUUUCCAAUAAUAAAAAUGGUUUCGACAGCUUGGCGACUCCACUGGGGACUUUUUUAAAAAAUAAGAGAGUCGAGCCACAAAGUUGAUUAAUUUUUGUCUUAUGGUCGAGAAAAUAUUUUUUUUUUAAAAAUUCAUGAGAUCCUUUUGCAUUCAUUAUUUUCUUGCUUAAUUGAUCUUUGCAUUAUACAUUACAUGAGUUGAAUGAUUUUACCCUUUUAAGUGGGAGUGAGAAACUAUUCCUUCGUGAGGUUUUCACCUCCGUAUAGGAUAGUGGAUCGCUUUCGGAAUACAUUGGUACCUGUGCCUUCGUGAGAUUAUCAUCUCCGUAUAGUCAUAGGGAAAAUGUGUUCCCCUAAACCGAACUUGAUCUAUAUGAGCCUAUAAUGGGUAAAGAUCGAGGAAUCUGCUGGUUCGGGUACCUUUACUUUAGAACUGAACCGCAUAUAAUGAGCCUUAGGAGCCUACCAUAGGUAGAAUCACACCGAAUGCCUAGAGGUCACCCGAAAACUUGGUUUAAAUUUACGAUCAUUUUGUUGUAUUUUGUUCAUUUUUGUUACGAUUAUAAUUACUUCGGUUUGUAAUUACUUUAUUGGUUUGAAUUUUGAUGUUUCUGCAUAUUGCAUUACAUAACCACUUGAUUAUAUCCUUUUAAGUGGGAGUGAGAAGCUAUUUCCUUCGUGAGGUCUUCACCUCCGUGCAGGAUAGCAGAUUGCUUUCGGGAUACAUCCGUACCUAUGUCUUCGUGAGAUUUUCAUCUCCAUGCAGCCAUAGGGAAAUGUAUUCCCCUGAACUAAACUUGGUCUGUAUGAGCCUAUAAUGUGUGAGAAUCAAGGAAUCUGCUAGUUCAAGUACCCUUACCUUAGAGCCAAACUACAUAUAAUGAACCCUAGUUGCCCACCUUAGGAAUAAUUACACCAAACCCUAGUGGUUUCCUGAGUAGAUGCUCAAUUUGUUUCUUUCUUGCUUGCUUUUGUUUUGCACUAACCUGUUUCGUUUUGUUAUGGUUAUGAUUGCAUUGCAUUUUCAUCAUAGAAAAGAUGUGUUGAUUCAUGUUCAGUAUCUAAAUAGAGAGCUUGUCAUAAGAAAAUGAAUUUCUUGAUAAAGUGGGAGAUAAUAUGGUCGUCCAAAUAUAGUCCGAGAAAACGUAACGAGAGAAAGAUGAUGGUCUAAGGGAGGACUACGCAACUUUGUUUCGUUGCCCGAGGAUUCAAAUUGAUAAAGAUUAUUCGAGAGUCGUCAACCUCCCGACCUUUUAAAGAGAAGCCAACGACAUUACGAGGAUGAAUUAGCAACAAUUCGCGGCCCGGAUCAAGCAAAAAGGAGAUAGAAGACACAUUUUUUGGAAAGUUUACGAGAUUUUAACAUUCGGAUAUGAAGAAAGGGAUUGAUGUCUUCACCUGGAGUAUGAGGGCAAGGUCGUAUAAAUAUCCAUUUUAUGUAAAGAGAUUUAUUUUCUAGAAAAGUUGUUCUAAUAGAAUUAAAUUAGAAUCAACGCCUCUCUUCUUUUGCAUUCAUGGCAUUCAUUGCAUUAGCUUUGCAUUGCAUCAUAUACAUUAAAUCUCACAAAAUGACUCUAAAAUUUUGGCAGUUAUCCUAGAAUAUCGGUACACGAGGAAAAAAUAAAGUAAUGGACCAAAGAUUAGAAAGACCUGAACAACUCCAAAGGGAGAGGUAGGACCAACUACUGCUGCAAGAACGUAGCUAAGGUCCAACAAAAUAUGAUGGACAAUAAAAAAUGAAGGAGUUAAAAGAAACGUUCACAUCAAUGUCAUACAUGAAGACAACUGAAAAGGGACCUUGUUAGACAUCUACCCUUAUAAACUUGGGAGUGUUCUGAAUAAUCGGACUGCAGAAGAAAUCCCUGUAGUAUUUAGUGCUUACUUAGAGUAAUAUUCAGAACACACUUGUUACUUUCAGCCUAGAGGCAAUAAGAACUCAUUUGUGAAAUAGGCUAAUGUCUGAACGUCAUUAUUUUAAUGAAAUGUAUCUUUGUGAUCAUUUUUGAGCCAAUAUUCUUUCAUUCUUUACGAAUAAUUAUUUUUUAUUCUUUCAUUCUAUUGGAUUAUCUUCCAAAUAAAUCUUUCAUUCAUAAUCAUACUGUACAGAUUCUUAAAUUCAUACAUUCUUUGUAUAAUCUUUUGUACCUACAAUAGGUCCCUGGAUAUCAACGACAUGAGUGACGCUGCUACAGACUCAGAAUCUCCUUUUGAGCGAGACAUGUGUUUAGAGGGAUCACACAACUUUGAAGAUAACAUAGAUUGUAGCCUAUUUUCGGACUUGUUAAGGAUGGUAGAACAAGUCGAGAAACGGAUCUUACCCUACAAAGAAUCAUUGGGAUACAUGACUUCUCCUUAUGUGGGGCAUGAAGGUCAUUUGGUCGAUCUCGCCAAAAGAAUCUGACGGUUAUCGAUUCAUCUUUCUAGUCGUCAAUUACUUUACUAAAUGGGUGGAAGCUGCUUCAUAUGCCAAUGUCACAAAGUUGGCAGUUAGCAAAUUCGUGAAGAAUCAUAUGUCAGUAUGGAAUGCCAAAAGGAUCAUAUCUGACAAUAUACUAAAUUUGAACAAUAGCACAAUAUCAAAAGUUUGUAGUAUGUUCAUGAUUAAUGCCAUAUUGCCCAAAAAAAAGAUGGCGCAAUAAAAGAUGGCGCAAUAAAAAAUUAAAAAAAACUCUACCGGGGCAAUGCCUUUCUCUUGGGCCCAUCGCGGUUUUGCCUAUUGAAGACAAGAUUCUUUCUCUCUGAGUUUUUGGAUCCAAUUCCAAUUGAAGAGGAAUUUUCAAAGUUAUCCAUCAUGGUCAAAUGCGCCAAAAGCAAAUGAUGCGAGCUCACAAAAAAGGUCCGCCCUAGAGAAUUCCUUGAGAGGGACUUGGUAUUGAAGAAGAUCCUUCCCAUACAAAAAGAACUUUAUCCUAAGCUGGGAAGGACAUUAUGUAGAAUGCCUUAUCUGGAAAAGCGUCAAUUUUUAUCAGAAGGGAUAACAAGGACAUGCCUAAUCCUAUGAGUUUAGAUUCAAUCAAUAAAAUAUUUCAAAAAAAAAAGGAAAGAAAAAAGGAGAGGCCAAUGUGAAAAUCCGCAAAGGACGCCUUGAGACCAAAGGGGAGUUGAGUUGAAAACCCGAAAAGGACGGCUCAAAUUUUGAUCAGAAUGGGACAUGAGGUGAUCAGAGCAGCUCAAAUUUUGAUCAAAUUGAGGCAUGUUGUGAUCUUGUUAUACCUGAAUCAACAGGAAAGGGUAUUUGACAUAUUGGGACAUCGACGAAGUACUGUAGAUCUCCUAAACACAUGUCAAACUCAGAAUGGUCUUCAGAAAGUUUGUAAAGAGAAGCUCAAGCUGCGAUAUCUGGGGCACCCAAUUUUCAUAUUAUUUAUAUUGAAUUUGUUGUUCUUGGAAUACUUCAUUCUUUCCCAAGAUACACAUUCCCAAUCAAUUUCUUUGUUAUCCUUAUUUACUACUUUUUGAUAAUCUAUUCCUUUCGAGCUAUGCUCAGAACCAAUUGUAUUGUCAUCCAUUGUUAUACCCUUUUUGCAAGCAUGUUACAUUGGAAUAAUGAUUCAUGGACUAAUAAAACUUUCACAAGGGAAGUUUGGCAUAUUACUCUAGAAGUUUCUAAAUAAUAUAGGAACCUGAAACAUGACUAUUGUUUAGAACGCACCAUGUUUAAAGGUUGGAAAUUUGAAAAGGAAGAGUCUAAAUUAGGACUUUCUCUUUGGAUUUUGUUGUUAAAAACAUUGAUUGAACAAAAUGACAAAGCUUAAAUAAACAAGUAAGCAAUGAUCACCAGACAAUAGGAAGAGGUUUCCUCGGAGAAGAAAGCCUUCAUUUAUGCAUGAGCCUUUGGAUUACAGUGGGAAAAUGAUGGUACAAAUUUUGCGCCCCAAUGGAUUGAACUUUGAGGUUUACAGUGGAGGGCAACCUGACUAAAUUUUUCGUCAGAAAAGCCAACCAAGCAAGAAGAUGUUGUAGCACAUCAGUGUUAAAGCCUUAAUAAACUUCGAGCAAUGACAACCUAAGUGAAAUCAUUCUCGGAAAAAAAUUAUUAAAAAUUAUGCAUUCGUGCAAACACCAUUCACACAUGUCUAGUUAAGAGCAUUUGAUUCAUUUUAUGCCAUCCUAAUCAUUGGGCAUAAUUAGGUUCAUUAUACAGGUCAUAUUCCCAGAGAGCAGAUUAGUGAAGAUAACAGAUCUUACCUUCCUGCACCGACAGCGUAGCAGAUCGAAGACACCAACCUUGCCUCCUUGGGUUGUAGCGAAGUAGGUUAAAAAUAGUAGAUCUUGCAUUCCUGCACUGACAGCGAAGCAAAUCGAAAACACUAGCAUUGCCUCCCUAGGUUGCAGCGGAGCAGGUUAAAAAUAACAGAUCUUGCCUUCCUGCACCGACAGUGAAGCAGAUCGAAGACACCAGCCUUGCCUCCCUGGGUUGUAACGGAGCAGGUUAAAAAUACCAGAUCUUGCCUUCCUGCACCGACAGCGAAGCAGAUCGAAGACACCAACCUUGCCUCCAUGGGUUGCAGCGGAGCAGGUUAAAAAUAGCAGAUCUUCCCUUCCUGCACCGACAGCGAAGCAGAUCGAAGACACCAGCCUUGCCUCCCUGGGUUGCAGCGGAGCAGGUUAAAAAUAGCAGAUAUUGCCUUCCUGCACCGACAGUGAAGCAGAUCGAAGACACCAGCCUUGCCUCCCUGGGUUGCACCGACAGCGAAGCAGAUCGAUGACCCCAACCCUAUCUCCCUGGACAGCAGUGGAAUAGGUUGAAGAUUGUGAAUCCUAUCUCCCUGAGCCACAGUGGAGUAGGUUGAAAAUAGCAGAUCUUGCCUUCCUGUACUGGCAGUGAAGCAGAUCGAAGACAUCAGUCUUUUCGCCUUGACAUUACAAUGGAAAAGAUUGAAGACACAACGACGAAUCUUAUUUCUCUAGCGUUGUAGCGGAGCAGAUUGAAGCUACGAUGACGAAUCUUAUCUCAUUGGUGUUAAGGCUUGGAUUAGCUGAAGUGGAGCAGAUUAAAGCUGUGGGCAGUGAAUCUUAUCUCUUUGGCAUUACAGUGGAGCAGACUGAAACCAUGACGGUGAAUCUUACUCCCCUGGCGGUGUAGUGGAACAGAUUGAAGCUAUGACGACGAAUCUUGUUUCCCCAACAUUGCAAUUUAAAAGACUGAAUAUGGCGAAUCUUAUCUCCCUGAAGUUGCAGUGGAGCAGAUUAAAGCCAAUAAUCCUAUUGCCUUAAAGUUACACUGGAGCGGAUUAAAACCAUAGAUCUUAUCUCUCUGAAGUUGCAGUAGAGUAGAUCACAUCGAGUCUUAUCUCCCUGAAGUUGCAGUGGAGUAGACUCAAGAAAACAAGUCUUAUCCCCCUGAAAUUGCAGUGGGGCAGACUAAAUAAACAAAUUCUGUCUCCCUAAGUUGUAGUUAGACCUGUCCAUGGGCCGGGCGGCCCGGCCCGGCCCGACGGCCCGCCCGAAAUAUGGGAGGAUUCGGGUAAAAAUAUAGGCCCGAAAUAUGGGCUUGGGCAAAAAAACGAGGCCCGUUUAAAAAAUGGGCCAGGCUCGGGCUCAACUUUUUUGGCCCGGGCUCGGCCCGGCCCGGCCCGAAUAUAAUAAAUAUAUAUUUUUUAUUUUUAUUUUUUAAUUUUAAAAUACUUUUAAAAUAUUUUUAUUUUUAUUUUUUUUAUUUUUAAAAUAUUUUUUUGUAUUUAUUAAAAAUCGGGCCGGGCCGGGCCGGGCUUACUCUUUUUUUCCCGGGCCGGGCCUGGGCAAAAUUUCAGGCCCAUAUUUCGGGCCGGGCCGAGCCCGGGCCUAAGAGUCGGGCCAAAAAAAUUUUCCGGGCCCGGCCCGGCCCGGCCCAUGGACAGCUCUAGUUGUAGUGGAGUGGAUUAGAGUGAUGGAUUUUAUCUCUCUAAAAUUACAGUUAAGCAGAUUAAAAGUUACGAGUCAGCAAUCCUAUCUCUCCGACGUUGCGGUGGAGUGGAUCGAGACACCAAUUCCUAUACCUCUAAAGAUGCAGUAGGAUGGAUGUGGCUGCUUGAAGAAGAAGAGCACCAAGAUCCAGUGUGACCGAGCAAAAAUUGGUCAUUUCUAAAGUCUUUGCUUCGUUCCUGUUACACGACAACGAGCAAAGAGGGGCAGCUGUAAUACCCAAUUUUAGCCCGAGCUCACAUAUGGAAACAUAAUCUUCAAGGAUAUGUAAUAUUAGAUAUGAUAUGCAAUCUUAGAUAUGAUAUAUGCAAUCUUAGAUAUGAUUUAUGCAAUCUUAGAAGAUAUGAUUUUGUAAUAUUAGAGAUUUAAUUUGUAGAUACCUUUUAAUCUUAGCCGUUGAUGUAAUUAAUCUGUACCGUUGGAUUUGGGGAGGCUCAACUAUAAAUAGAUGNNNNNNNNNNNNNNNNNNNNNNNNNNNNNNNNNNNNNNNNNNNNNNNNNNNNNNNNNNNNNNNNNNNNNNNNNNNNNNNNNNNNNNNNNNNNNNNNNNNNGAAUUUAAAAAUGGAAAAUUUUCAAAAUAAAGAUAAUACUCGUAUUUAGGAUUUUCAAGAAAAUUGAGCCCUAACAUAUUGGGUUCCGAUUUUUUUCGUAAAAUCUAACAAUCGAGGAUUGUUCUUUAAUCAAACAAAAUAAAACUUGUCAUCGGGAAUUCAAUGUGUUGUGUCCUAACAUAUUGGAUGUGACAAGUUGAUUUCUCGAGAUAAAGAUUUUUUUGAAAAAAAAAUAUAAAGGAAAUAUUGAAUGUUUGGGAUUUUAAGAAAUCGUGCCCUAACGUAUUGGGCUGCGAUUUCUUCAUAAAUUUUAAACAAUUAAAUAUUUUCUUAAAUUUUAUUAUACGAGUUUUUUGAACCAACUCAUCUUGAAGAGAAUAAAAUGUUGUGCCCUAACGCAUUGGGUGUGAUAUUUUUCUUUUCAAAAAGAGAAAGUCUUAAUAAAUAAUUUCAUUUAACUAAGGAUAGUAUUUUUUUAAACUCUCGACUUGGUAUCAAUUUUUGGGCGUUACGAGGGUGCUAAUCCUUCCUCAUACGUAACUGACUCCCGAAUCCGUUUUUCUCAAACUUGUAGACCAAAGCUAUUUUUUAGGUGAUCCAAUCACACCUUAAUAAAAGAUUGGUGGCGACUUCCAAUUUUUGUUUUUUUCCAAAAAUAAAAAUGGUUUCGACACUCAAAACUAAGAUUUUUAAAACAUCUUUUUUUAUAAUUUUUAUUUUAAAUUAUGCCAUAUAAGAUUUGAUGUGUUGUUUAAUAAUUAAAAUAAUAAUUUUGGUAACGAAAGAACCUAAUUGAUAUGACCUUAUUAGUUUAGGGAUGUAAUUAGAAUUAUUUAAAAUUUACAAACUAAUUUAAAAUGAAGGUCAUAGUUUAAGAAUAUUUAAUGCAAUUAAAUCUUAAAUUUUUUAUAUAAAGGUUUAAAAUAUAUAAUAUGAAUUAAUGGUUUAAAAUUAGGUUGCACUAUUUUCCCUGACCAACUUGGUGCAGAGUUAACUCGUGACACUAACUUAGUUAUAUAUUUAAAUAAUAGUAUUGACACACUUAAAUAAUAGUAUAGAUAUACAAACGAUGUGGGUAAACCAUUUUGUGUAAUGCUAUUGAAAUGUAUAAAAAAUUAAAGAAAAACUUCAAUUGAAGUGGUAAAGUUGAGGUGUUAUUGACAUUAGUGGCAUGAGUUUAAAUUUCAUCAUAUGGAAAUUUUUUAUUGGUUUAUUUAAAAAUAAAAAAAGACAAAAAUACUCUUGUAAUAAUAUAACUUAUUUUAAAUAUGCAAUGGUUAGUUAGUAAUUUAACCUACUGAGUCGGUGUCGCUUAACUCAUGACACCAAAUUCAGUAAAACACUUGAUAUUAGUAGAAAUAUAAACAACGUGGGUGAAACAAAUUGUAUAAUAAGAUUGAAAUAUAUCAAAAUAUCAAAAUAAAAUUUUGAUUGAAAUGAUAAAGAAAAGAAAUUUUAGAGAUGCUCGUACCAUAGGUUCAAAUUUCAACAUUUGUCAUGUUUUAAAAGAAAAUAAAAGGACAAAUGUAUCAUAGUAAAAAUAUAACUUAUUUAAAAUAUGUAAAGUUAAUUUAGUAAUUUUCUUGACUGAGUUGGUGCCAAGUUGACUUGUGACACCAACUCAUCACACACUUAAAAAAUAAUAUAAAUUUAAAAUAUGUAAUGUUAUUUUAGUAAUUUCCUUGACCCAGUUGGUGUCCCGUUAAAUUAUGAUACUAACUCAAUCACACACUUAAAUAAUAGUAUAGAUUAUGUGAUUUAUUUUUGGCAUAAUGUCAAAUUUAAACUUCAAUGUUUGCAUCUUUUGUCAAUUUGGUCCUUAUUCUUAUUUUAAGCUAAAUUUGGCCCUCGACCUUUUAAAGACAGUUAAAUUUGACAAUCAAUCUUUCAAAAAAUGUCAAAUUGUUAUUAUCUUAACGAAAAUGCUAACUAAAACGUUUAACUGACUUUUAAGUAUUUUAGCCCGCAUAGCAAUCCACAUGUACUCCAAUAUGCUAUUUUUUAAAAAAUUUUAAAUUAUUUGUUGAUAUGAUAUAUAAGACAAAUAUAAUGUCAUGUGAACAUAAAGUAUAUAUGGAUUUCUAUGCCAACGUCAUUAAAAAAUUAAUGUUUUAGUUGUCAUUUCCAUUAAAAAAAGGAAUAUGACUUUUAAAAAAAAAAGAUUAAUGGUUAAAUUUAACUAAAAUAAAUAAAUAUCAAAUUAACAAAAAAAUGUAAACGUAAAUACUAUAUUUGAUAUUAUAUCUUUAUUUUUCCAUAAUUUUAGUUACUACAACUUUCACAAACUCAUUAAAUUUAUAUAUUGUGGAGUUUUUUUGUUUAAGGAGUUAAGAGUUAGUAAAUGUGAACACCAACCUGUGAAAUAUUAUAUGGAGGAAAUAAUAUCGUAGGUUUAUAAUUUUAUUGAUUAAAUAUUUUAAUUUAGAGUUUUCAAAUUAAAUCUUUACUAAAUAGCUCGAUUAAUACAUAUAUAUUCCCAAAUUUAUUAUGUACUAAUCUAAAUACGUUGGAUAAAGAUUUUUGCUUCUAAUAAUAUUUUCAAAUUACAUUGCACAAAAAUGAAAAAGAAAAAUACACCAUAUAUUUAAUGUUUUGAGCCUAACUAUGAUUUUAAGGGGUGUUUGAUUUGUCGAAUAUAACAUUACGGCCCACAAUUUUACAUUCUUGUAAAAUUCCUUACCCUACCCAUUCGCAGGAUCCAAGCUAUAGGAUGCCACGUUCGUUGUCAGAACAAUUACAACUACUUACAAAACAAUUUAAUCAUUUAUGCAUGCUAACAAGUAUAAUACAUACUCGUGACAUGAUGCACAAUCAUUUUAGGGUCUUAUACAAGCUUACAAAAGCUCUUUUACUAACCCGAGGUCAGUUAAUGACUUAAUUGAAAAGUUUUCAAAAUUCACGGACUGACAUCGCGACAUCAUGACUAUCACGUUGCGACUUCAUCAAUUAGUAAGUGUCGUCACGACUUCAGAAAACUCGGUAUCGCGAUGCCAUUCACUGUCGAUUUAGGUUGCGACAUUCAAGACUUGUUGCGACGUUACCCCCUAUUUCAACAAAAAUCACUUUGAAACAGAUUUGACACUUUCUACCAAAACAUUCAUACAUUCAUUUGUUCAUUCCCAAUUCAACAAGUUAGCAUAUCAUGCAAGUUUAGGUACAUAAGCUUACUAAACAUCUUGAGAUCAAAGAAUUCAAUUCUUGACAUAAGUAUGCCAUCUUCCAACUUUGACAUACCAAGUCACCACAUAUUUGUAGGUUUUAACACAUAAGACUUAUGCAAGCUUUGAAAUCAAUAAUCAAAAUGGCAUUAAACAUGACCAAAACUAAGCACAAAUUAGGCCAUUUACCAACUUUAAGACCUUAGCUCACAGAUACAACAUUGACAUUUACAUUAGAGAUGAUCAUUUACAUAAAAAAAAAGACCCUAUAUACAUGCUGUAAUAAGCCCAAUUUGCCCGGGCCCAAAAUCACAAACAAAAUUAAACUAAAUAAAAAAUUAAUUAAUUAAAAGUCCAAAAAAUAGCAUAGUCCGUUUCUUUACAACAACAGGGCCAAAUCCGAGUAGGCCCAACUAGCCUAAAAUUUCAAGACACCCUAAGCCCAGACCCAAUUUAGCCCGGAUACCCCUGGCCCAAAUCACCUAAGCCCUAAAGACCAAAAUUAGAAAACCUUAGCCUUCAGCAGCAUUGGCUCCCAGCGCCGCAGUGGCCAAGCUUUCCCCCCGCGCGUGCUGUGCCACCACGCGCGUAUGCGUCUCCUAGCUGGCCUCCGUACACGCCACGUCCAGCCCCCGUACGAUCGCACCUGCAAACAGAAUGAAAACAACACAGCAAAGAGGAACCAAUGGGGGUUUUCUAUUUUAUUUUUUGAUUUCAAUUGUAUUUUCAUUUUCGGCUUCUCGGUCAAAAAAAAGAGAGGAUAUAAGAACCGGAAGAAUGAUUGUACUACUACUUACGCAAAAAAAAAUACAGAGAAAUCAAAUUUGAAAAGAGGUGAUUUUCUGGGUUUUCAUUCCUUUUUAUUUUACUAGUUAUUUGAUUCUUUUCUGGGCUUUCUGUUUCUAAUUUGCAUGUUCAUCGAUCGUUGUUUAAAAGAGAAAUAUUAGAAAAGAGUAAGGGACGUACCUGGUGGAACGGUUCUGGCCCUCUCUCCGUCGUCAUCGGAAUACGGGCUAGGAUCGGCGAUGGUUCGGAUACUCAGUAAACAGAGCGGCGCGGAGAAAGAGCUUAGGUUUUAAAAAAGGAAAUAAAGUUGUUAGGUUAAGUGUUUUUUUAGUUUUAUUUUAGUUUUAAUCACCGGAUUUAAAACGGUGUCGUCUAAUGACCAAACCCGCGCAGUGACCCGACCCAGGGCAGGAUCCGCGCACUUGGGUUCAUCGGUCUAUUUGCUUCACAAGUCCCUCUUUGUUUUGUUUGGUUUCAAUUUGAUCCCCUUUAUCUUUUAAAAUUUAUACGGCAUAUUUGAUUUAGUUUUCAUUUAGCCCCAAAUCUAGACGGUGCCGUUUCUUGGUUAUUGAUUGAGUAUUCCAAUGUUUGCGUAUAAUUAUUGCUUUAACCCUUAACUUUUUGAAAUGAAUUUUAAUUUAGUGCUAAUUUAGUCUUUUUUUCUUAAAAUUCGAUGUUAAAUUUUUAUUAUAAUUAACUCUAUUUUCAUAUAUUAUUGUAUUUAAUAUUUUUGAUGAUAUUUAUUUUGAUAGAGUUUAAGUUUACUAUUAUUAUGGUCUAAAAGUAAAAUAAAUUACUAUUUUAGUCUUAUUUUUAUAUUUUCAAAAUCCAUUAUAUACCAAUAUUGUGAAUCUAUUGUAUAUCAUCUUAUUUCGUUUUCUUAACAUUAUUAUUCUAUUUUCAUUUGAUGCUUUGAUUUUAAAAUUUGUUGGUUACUAUCUUCAAUUUAAAAAAAAAAACCUGUUACUAUGUUCAUAUAUUAUUUUAACAUUAUUGGCUUAAUUUUAUUUUUAAACUUAUUAUUAGUAUGAUUUAUAAGAUGUGAUACACAAUUCCUUUAAAAUUAUUAUCAAUAUAUAUAUGUGCAUAAAAUGUAUUAUAACUUGUAACUUAUAAAAUUUUUAUUCUAUGCUUUGAAAUUUUUAUUCAUUUCGAUUAUUUUAAUUAGUUUACUUGUGAUUAAAUUAUUAUUAUUUUGCUAUUUGUAAGACUGGUUAUUAGUUAUUUGAUUAUUAAUGUUGAUGCAUUAUAUGUUUGAUUGCUCCAAAUUGUAGAAUUAAUUUGUUAUUCAUCAUUUGCUUUGUAUAUUGUUAAUCAAUCAUGUUGUUUGUAAGAAUUUCAUUUCAUUAAGAUAUUAUAUUCCUUUCAUUUCAAAAUUCAAAAAGGGCUUGGUGUUAAAUAAUUCUCGAGAGAAUUGUGCCCUAACUUACUGGGCUUCAAUUCUUCUCGAUGAAUUUAUAUCAUCAAGUAUCCAUUUCUUUUUAAGAUGUAUAUUUUUAAAAUAAAAUUCUUUAGAUUUCAAAAUGUUGGAUCCUAACUUACUGGAUAUGACAUUUUGUUAUCUCGUUUUUAAAUAAAGGUAAUAUUUGGUGUUUAGGAAUUUUAAGAAAAUUGAACCCUAACUUACUGGGUUUUGAUUUCUGGAUUGAUCUAAAUAACCAAAUAUCCUUCUCAAAAUGUAUGAUUUUUUUAAUUUUAAAAAAAGGACGAAUCUAACUUCGAAAAUUGAAUCGUUGCGCUCUAACUCACUGAUUGUGACGAUUUAUUACUUUAAAGUGGGUAAGUCUUAUUUUCCAAUUCGAUUAUUAAAAUUUUAUUUUCAAAGGAUUAUAUUCUAAAAUCUUUUCAAGUUUCGACACUAAGACAUUAAACAAUCGAUUCGGUACCAAUUUUGGGCGUUACAAGGGUGCUAACCCUUCCUCGUGCGUAACCGACUCCCAGACCUAUUUUCUCAAAUCUCGCAGACCUAAAAUUUAUUUUUAAUGGUGAACCGAUCACACCUUAAUAAAAGAUCGGUGGCGACUCCCCAUUUUCAUUUUUAAUAAGUCGAUAAUAAAAAUUUUGAUUUUUCAAAUAAGUGGUUUCGACACAUGCCACAUUAUUAAGUACCAAAAUGAACAUACUUCUACCGUCUUGAUGAUAGUGUGAUAUCCACACUGAUCUGGCUUUGUGAGUUCCGUAAUCUAGGGGUCUACAUGCAAGGAAAACAAUAAUAGGUAAGCAUUUAAUGCUUAGUAAGUUCAAAUGGAAAUUACAACACUUACCUUGCUCACAGUUGAGCAUGUUGCUACUAAAAGAUUAGGCAUAUAUCUAGCUAGAACAUGUCACAUAAUAUCACAACAAAGUGAGCAGAAUAAACAUAAGGCAUUAUAACAUGUCCAAAACAUCACCAAAUUAUACCAAUUCAUAUAAGAUAAUCACAAUUCCAUAUACUAUCACCAAUCUACUAGUUCAUACCAUUUCAAUUUUAAUCACAUAUCUUAACAACUUAUCAAAUUCGAUUUGUUUCAUUUUCCGAUUUCAAGAUUCAGUUUCAACGUUUUACCUGAUGGAAUCCUAGUAAAAUGGACUCGGACACAUGAUGGAACUACACUACUCCAAGAUAGCUCAUAUAAGCAUAAACUACAUCACACAAAGGCACAAAAGUGCAAAGCCCGUAGGCAUCAAAUGUAUAUUCUUAUCCAAAUACAUCCCUCUACUACAAUAAGGUCUCCAUAGAGACAGUGAAUACUCGAUGAUUCUCAACAAAUUCCGGAUCCUAAAUUAACAUAUCAUAACCUCUUUAUUGUUAACUAUCUCAUACACAAGCGCAAUAUGACCUUAUUGGCAUGCCAACUAUAUCCUAGCCUUUUACUAAGUUCACAUGGGCAUCAAUCAUCCAUAUUUUCAUUUUCAGAUCUCGUAAGUAUCACAUCUUAAUUUUCAAAUACCGUCGAUUGAAUCUGAACAUGAAUUAUGCAUUCAUUUAAUGAUACAUUUUAAGACAUUUCCAUGUUGGAAAAACAGAUUUGGAAAAUGCAGCGGGAAAUAAAUUUAACGAAAAACUAGAGUUAAAUUUUUUUUUUCAAAACAAGAUCUUGCUUGUUAUAUCUAAAGUAAUAAACACUUAAUCAAAAUUGUACCUUUUCGAUUCAUCUAGGAUGAGCGCUUCGACCGAGUAGUCUUCUUCACUAUCAUCAAGCUCACAUCUGCCGAGUGUGGGCUCGUUUCAAAUUAGAAAAUUUUUCACAAAAAUUACCAAUGGGGUAAUUUUGUAAUUUCUUUAAACUUUUGAGUCAAGUUGUAAAUUAGAAAAAUAUUUUUAUAAAUUUUCUGGAAUAAUCUAUUCAGAGAUUUUUCUCUCUACACUUUUCUCUUGAAUUCAAGUGUGUAACUAAUGACCCAAUGCUCUGUUUAUAUGGGGAGAGUUUAGAGAGUUUAACUAUGAUAUUUAUCAAGAUAAAUAUUAGAUUAAAUUUAAUAUUAAAUAUUAUUAAAAUGAUAGAAUGUUUAUCUUGUAGAUAAAUAUUAAAUUAAUUUAAUAUUUACAUAAUCACUUUAAUAUUAAAUUUAAUACUUAUCUUAUGUUAUUUUAUGUUAUUUUGUAAGUAAUUUUUAGUUUUUUACCAUUUGCAGUUUUAAGAGAUUCUGAUGUUUUAUUAUAAUAUUUUGUUGGAAUUAUCCUUCUCUAAUGUAGUUUUGGUCCGCUCCUGUAUCAAAAAGGGCUAUUGUUUCUAAUUGAAAUUCAUUAUUUAUAACAGUAUUUAUUUUUAUUAAAUAUCUUUGAAUAGAUACUUCAGUUAGAAUCAUCAUAUAUUCUUGUGUAUUUUCUUCAGGUUCAGGUUCAGUUUCUGACAAACUUUUUUCUGCGGUUUCGUGUUUUAAGGACCUCAUUUGUUCUUUCAUUUCUUGUUGUUCUGUUUUAAGCUGAGAAAGUUCUAAUUUAAUCUGUUUUAUUUCCAGCUGUAAUUCAGAAUUUGUAAUUUGCCUUGGUUUUAUUUUUUCAUAUUUAUUAAAUAUUAUGUCUUGUAUAUUAUACAUUUGUGAUUAACAAGAAAUGAUUUCUUUUUCUUUUUCUUUUUCUGGUUUAUCUUUUAAUAAGGAUUUUAAUUUCAAAAAGUAUUCUCUUUUAAGCUCUAGGUCUUGAAUUUUAUCAAUAACUUCAAUCAUAAAUUCUUGAUCUUUGGUUAACAUGUUAAUUGAAGGUUCAUUUUCAUCACUAGAAGAUUGAGAUGUUGUAUGUAAUUCAUCUAUUUGUAAUUCAUCUGUUUCAGUAGAUGUAUAAUUUUCAAAAGAAAUUGUUUCUAAUAGGAUUUCAUUUAAUUUUUGUUCUAUCUCUUCAUCUAAAUUUAAAUUAUUGAUUUUUCUUUUGAUUUUACAAUAUUUUGAAAUAUGUCCUGGUUUUCCACUUCUAUAACAUUUUAUUGUUUUAUCAAUUUUGUUUUCUGUCUUUUGUUGUUUCUUCCCUUUUCUGUAUUUUCUAUAUUGAGGUUUUUUAUAAUAUUCUGAAAUAUUCUUUUUCUUAUUUUUUGGCUUUUCAGGGCAACAUGUUUUUGAAGAAGAAGGUUCAUUCCUGAUGUCAAAUUGGUGACAGAAUGAUCCUAAUUCAUUUCUACAUUGAUAUCUUUCUUUCUUAAUUUGUUUUUGUAAUUUUAAAUCUUGACAAAUUUUUAAUCCUUCUUUUUGGGUGAAACUAAUUAGUUCACCUUAUGUAAGAUUUUCAUAUGGAAUAAUACCUUUGUAAUUUUCUCAUAUUUGAUUCCUAACUUUUUCUCCUAAUAAAGCGGGAAGUUCUGCUAUAAAUUUUUCUUUCCAAAAUGGUUGUUGGUUAUCAGAUCUUUGCAUAACUCUAGUCAUAAAGACAUCUUUAUACCAUUUAAAAUCGAUUAAUUUUUUUCAUUUUAAAUUUGAUAAUAAUUCUGAAAUUCUAUCUUUAAGAUGACAAUGAUCUCCAAUAAAGUGUUUAGAGAUUGAGAAAAUUAAAGUUGCUACUGCAUCUUGGAUUUCUCUUCCUUGUUCGUCUAAAAUAAUUCUAUCUUGGUCAUCUUUUUUAUUACUUUUAAAAUUUCUUCCUGUUGGGUUUUAGUGAGUGCAUGAUCCCACCAUUCUUUUAAUUGACCAGUAAAUCCAGCAACUAAAAGAUUAGCUAUAGCAUGAUCACUGAUUAAUCCAUUUUGAUUUUGGGUUUCACUGAUUAAUCCAUUUUGAUUUUGGGUUUUAUAAACAUUUAAAACCAUUGUCAUUUGUUGUAAUAAACUAAGAAUAUUGUAUUCAGACAUUCCAUCUAUAUUUCAUUCAUAGAUUGUAUUAGCAUUGUAUUUAUUUUGGAAAACAAGUUUUUCUUCUAUGUUAAGAUCAGAUGCAGUGAUUUUUGGAUAAUAUAAUAUUUUUGGUUCUUUCCAAGCCAUCUUGUUAAUUUGUUGUUCAUCUAACUGAUCCGAGUCAGAUUGGGAAGAUUGGUGUAAUGUAUUUACUGAAUAUUGGGUUUGUAUUGGGGUAUCAGGGGCAAUUAAUUCAAACUUGUAGCUUUCCAAAUCAUUACGUCUAUUUUUUAUUUCUGUUAGGAAUUCAUUUUGGGAUUUUUGGAAAACAAGUUUUCCAUCUAUAUUCCAUUCAUAGAUUGUAUUAGCAUUGUAUUUAUUUUGGAAAACAAGUUUUUCUUCUAUGUUAAGAUCAGGUGCAGUGAUUUUUGGAUAAUAUAAUAUUUUUGGUUCUUUCCAAGCCAUCUUGUUAAUUUGUUGUUCAUCUGACUGAUCCGAGUCAGAUUGGGAAGAUUGGUGUAAUGUAUUUACUGAAUACUGGGUUUGUAUUGGGGUAUCAAGGGCAAUUAAUUCAAACUUGUAGCUUUCCAAAGCAUUACGUCUAUUUUGGAUUUUUGUUACGAAUUCAUUUUGGGAUUUUUGGAAAGUUUUUGGAAUAUCAUAAGGUGUGAAUAUGGGUUCUUUGGAACUUUUUUCGAUUAUCUCUUUUACUGAUUCUUUCCUGAUUGGUUGACUCUUUACCAGAUUCUUAAUAUAAUCUAAUUGUUUUCCUAUUGUAUGAAGAUUAAUAUUUGUAUAAUUGUUUUGUUCUACUAUCAUUUUAAUAUCUUUUGAUGAGAUCUGUUCUCCUGCAUCAGGAGCUCUCAUUCUUAAAGGGUUUGCUUUUAUUCCAGUAUUCUUGUGAAGAUAUUGAACUUCCAUUAAAGGGGGAUGUCGAGAUUCAACUUCUUCUUUAUUAGUCUACCAUCUAGUAUUUGUCUUAUUGUAUUAACAGAUUCUAAAUAAUAUUCUUCAAACCAUUCAAAGAAUUUUAUAUGGACUUGAUGGGUAUUCAUAAAUCCAUAAUAUUCUUGAAGAAUGCUUUCUUUUUUAUCAUUAUAAUUUUUAAAGUAAUCUUCCCUUUUUUUUCUUAUUUUUGUUAAAAUAGAAGUGCUUUCUACACCAUUCUUUAUUUAUUUCAAACGUUUUUUCUAAAACAAAUAUUUCUGAAUUUUCUCCUUGUCUUGCAUUAUUAGUCAUUGAUGAAUAUGUUGGUGACAUAUUAGGUGAAUUUUGGGGACUCUCUUCCUGUCUGGCAUAGAUAGGUUGAGUUAUAUUUGAGGAAUUAUCUAUUCUUUGUAAAUUGGUUCUAAAUGCUGUUGGGAUAGAAGAGACAGAGGCUCUGGCCGUCCUAAAAUCUACUGUUUGUGUUUCUGGAUUUGACUCUUCUUCUAUAUUUAACCUCCUAAAGGUUGUGCUGGUACUUCCUAUUUUGAAUGAGUAUCUUGAAGGCAUUCUUUGUGGCCUAUUGAAUUUUAAUUCGACUGUGUCAUCUUGGUGCUGAGAAAUUUCACUUAAUGAAGUGUUUCUUAUGGGGGUUAGUGCCACGGGAUCUGUAGCACCUUCAAGUUUCCACUUAUCAAGAAGAUUUAUCUCAUGCCAUUGUAUUGUUCUUGGGAUUGUGGUAUAAGAUCUUGUGGUGUCUGUCUCUAUUAAGAGGGUUUCUCCUUUUGGGCUUUGGAGUAAAGCCUUGUUUUUAACAACAGAAUACAUAGCUUUGAAGGAGUCUAUACACUAAAUUUAAUACUUCCGUACCAGGAAGCAUUUUGUAGUUAUGGGUAUGUAUUUGGAGGGUCAAAGAUUGUAAAAUAUUUUUAUCAGUCAAAGAAACCAUAAAAUUUAGAUAACAAUUAAAAUGGAUUGGGCCUGUACAUAGGCUUGUUUCUAUAGUUGCUAAUAAUGAGUCAUUAAACAUUAUGUGUCUUUGGUCUCUUAAGACUACUAAUAUUGAGGUAUUUUUAGUGGCUUCAACACUAAGAGGUUUGACUCCAACCUGGACUAAUCCAAAAUGGAUAUAUUUGUAUCUUUGUUCUUUGAGUUUAUUAAUGACGACUUUAUCUAAUAAUUGGAUUGUUUCAUUUUUUUUGAAUAGGUAAACUCCUUUCUUUUGUUUUUAUAACAUAACUGCAAAAAACAUUUAAAUUUUCAAAAGUUAUUUUUUUGUAAACUUGGUUUGUUGGAACUCUUGAAAGAGUCCAAUUAUCAAAUCUUUGGGGAAUAUUUUCAUAAUGUUCUUCUUGUUUAUUAACAGUGUUGUUUGAGGUUUGGUCUGAUUCUUGGGAUUGAUUAGAAACAAAGCUUGCAGAAGAAUUGGCUCUUCUAAGGAAAGGAAACAUUCUUUGUUUUCUUAUUUCCUAUAGGGGGUUCUACUAUUUAGAUUUCCAAAUUAAUUAAGUUGCCUACAGGGAUACUAUGUCAUUAGCAUGCCUAACCCAUGGCUAACUGGACACUGUAUCAAUUCUCAGCAAAAUAAUAAUACAUUAAUGAAGAUAGUUAAACCAGAACUCGGAAAUAUUAAAAACAAAUUAAAUUUUUUCUUAAACUUAGAAAUACCUGCUCCUCCUUGGCUCUGAUACCAGUUAGUCCCGAGGAUCUGAUGAUCGGAUUGGUAAUAAGAUAUUUGUAAUUUGAAAACUUAAGUUUGAAAACUUAAUUUGAAAAUUUGGAAACUUAAAAUUAAAUUUUGAAGAAGCUUUUUGGAAAAUUUGGAGAAACAAUUCAAAUGGGUAAAUCGAGUUUUGUCUUUCAUUCUCAAACUGAUAGCCUUUUAUAAAGGGCUAUUCUCUCUUUACAUUAUCUGAAUCGGGAAAUCAUUACAUUUGAAACUUUGAUUAGAACUUUUCAGAGAAUAUAGUCUCUGAUUACAAAAAUACAAAUUGCAGAACUAUUCACCUGUCUUUUCUUGCAGGGAAUAUUUCUUGUUCACGCAGUAUUUUGUUGCAGGGAAUCUCUCCUGUUCACACAUCAUUUCUUGCAGGGAAUCUUUCUUGUUCACGUAUCAUUUCUUGCAGGGACUAUUUCCUGUUCACGUAUUAUUUUGUUGCAGAGAAUCUCUCAUGUUCACACAUCAUUUCUUGCAGGGAAUCUCUCCUGUUCAUACAUCAUUUCUGGUAUUAUUUCUUUUUUGACCUGGUGAUGGUUACCGAAGUGGUAUCAUCUGCAAGAUUCACCAUCUUGAUUAAGGAUGCUGAAGAUUCUUCUUCAGAUUCGGAGUCUAAUGAGCUGAGCAUUUUAGCCAUGAGUUUUUUGUAUUCUUUUUUGGUCUUGGCUUGAGCUAACAUUGCACUGGUUGUCGACUUUGCUUGAAGAAAUUUUACUGUGGUUUGAUCCGGGGCUGCGGACUUACAUAAUCUUGGAUUCUUGUUGAAAAAAUUAUCCAAAUAUUUUGAAUCAUAUUUUUCAUCAUUAAAUUUGUCCCACCAUUUAGUCCUGUACUUGCGAACUAAUAAUGGAAUUCCAGUAUGUUGGUCUUGCUCAUAAGAAUAAUUCCAUGAGACAAUCCAAGAAAUGCAUAGUUUUGAGAAAAAAAUGGAUUGUCCUGUAAAUGUGUUUUUGAUCUGGUUCCGGAUGAAAUUUGUCAAAGAAUUUGGGCCAUAAGUUUUGAAUUUUUUCUGGUAGUAUCUCAAAGGAUGAUGGUCCAUACCAAUUCCACCACUCUUGGAACCAGUUUGGGAAUUUAAAUUGGGUGCCAUAUUUGAAAUAUAUGAGCCAAAAAUGUCUCAUGUGUUGGUUGUUCAUUAAGAAGACAUUGUACCAUGCCAUUUGGUAAUCCCAAUAUGUAAAAUAUGGGUAAUGGUCUAUUUUGGUGGUAAAUUUGGCUGGGAAUUUCUUUGGAGAAUUUGGGUUUUCACUCCAAUCUCUUGGUCGAAGAAUUUUUAAUAUUUGGGUUGUUGAAUGGGUAAUAAAAUUUGGAUCUUUUGGAUCUGUGUAAUGUUUGAACAAUACUGAUCCAGUUUAAACCAGUAUAUUUUCAUAAUACUGUUAGGGUUUUUGAGAAUCCAAUGGUUUGAAAUGUCAUCCAUUGAAAAGUUCUUUUGCAGGUAUUUGUGGAGGUUUUUCUGAAAAUUCUUCCUCCAAAACAAGAAUUUUUUCAAAAUAUUUGUUUGGAAAUUAUUGUGAAGAUUUUUGUGUAGCAGUCUGUGAAGACACUGCUAUCUCUUUUGGAAAAACAUCUUGGAGAGAAGUCUCUUUUAAGACAUUUUUAACAGAUUUUGGUUUGUGUAAAACGAUCUCUUUAUUUUUUGAAACCCUUGCUGCUUCAGCAGCAAUUUGUUUGAGAGGAGUUUCCUCUUUCAUUUGUGAAAAAGCCAAUGCUACUUCCGGAGAUUGAGAUAGGGACUCAAUCCAUUUUUUGAUUUGAGAACCAAUCUCAUUUGGAUCUUGUGCAUCUUGAAUUAUUGUAUUUUUGGAGGAUUUUGACGAUGAUGAUGAUUUCUCAUCUUCUUCAUGGCAAAUUUCAUACCAUGACUUAAUUGGUUUUGAGGUGAUUUGGAUUUUGGAUGAUUAUUCUAUUUUCCCUUUUCUUUUGUCUUAAAGUUUGGGGGGCAUUUUUGAAGAAACUCUCUGGUGAGAAAAUCAGGCAAAGAAUUAGUUUCUCUUUUGAUGUUCAAUAUCAAAAUCAAAUAUGCUCAAGAUUGCUUUCCAUAUUGUAAAAAUCUGUUUUGAGGCAAUGUUUUGAACAUCUUUUUGUAAAACUUCUUUUGUUGAUUUGCAAUCAAUUCGUAAAAGAAAUUUUUGAUUUAAUAAAUCACUUUGGAAUUUUGUAAUGCACAAAACAAUUGAUAAAAUUUCUUUUUUAAUGGUACUAUAAUUUUGCUGAGUAGGAUUCCAGUGUCUGGAAGUAAACUGGACUAUUUGGUCUUUUCCUCCUUUAACUUGUUUUAGGAUCCCACCAU